rnacentral:rRNA from 1 species
UACGAAGGGUGCAAGCGUUACUCGGAAUUACUGGGCGUAAAGGGUGCGUAGGUGGUUUUUUAAGUCCGUUGUGAAAUCCCUGGGCUCAACCUGGGAAUGGCAGUGGAUACUGGAAAGCUAGAGUGCGGUAGAGGGUAGUGGAAUUCCCGGUGUAGCAGUGAAAUGCGUAGAGAUCGGGAGGAACACCGGUGGCGAAGGCGGGUCUCUGGGCCGAUACUGACGCUGAGGAGCGAAAGCGUGGGGAGCGAGCAGG